AAGGCAGAGCUGGCCCAGCAGGCUAAGCACUGUGACAACAUGGCCACCUACACGAAGGCCAUGACCAAGUGGGGCACCCAGCUGUCCAGCAAGGAGCGCAAUCUGCUCUCAGUGGCCUACAAGUAUGGGGUCAGGGACUACAGGUCCACCUGGAAGGACAUUUUGGGCACUGAGCAGGAAACUGACACCUCCGACAUGAAGCUGCUACUGAUUAAGUACCAUAGGGAGAAAGUGGAGUCUGAGCUGAGAUCCACCUGUCCCAUGGUCUUGGAAUUUUUGGAUACACCAUGGUCUUGGAAUUUUGGGAUAAGUAUUAUAUUCAAUAGCCAAUGCAACUAAUCCAGAGAGAACCGUCUUCUAUCUGAAAGUAAAGGGGGAUUACUUCCAGUAUCUUGCUGAAGUUGCAUGUGGUAAUGAUCAAAAACAGAAGGUAGGUCAGGUACAGUGGCUCAUGCCUAUAAUCCUAGCACUUUGGGAGGCCGAGGUGGGUGAAUCACCUGAGGUCAGGAGUUCGAGGCCAGCCUGGCCAACAUGGCAAAACCCCACAUCUACCAAAAAUACAAAAAUUAGCUGGGUGUGGUGGUGCAUACCUGUAAUCCCAGCUACUCAGGAGGCUAAGGUAGGAGAAUCACUUGAACCCAGAAGGCGGAGGUUGAGUGAGCUGAGAUAGCACCACUGUACUCCAGCCUGGGUGACAGAGCGAGACUCCAUCUCAAAAUAAAAACAAAACAAAACAAACAAACAAAAAACACAGAUGGUAGAUAAUUCCCAGGAGCUUACCAAGACACAUUUGACAAUUUGAUAAGCAAGAGAGAGAUGCAACCCCCCCCUUCCGAUCUGCCUGGGGCUGGCUCUUAACUUUUCUAUAUUUUACUGUGAGAUCCUUAACAACCCUGAGCUCACCUGCCCACUGGCUAAAAUGGCUUUUUUUUUUUUUUUUUUUUUUGAGACAGAGUCUUGCUCUGUCUCCUAGGCUGGAGUGCUGUAGUGCAAUCUCAGCUCACUGCAACCUCCGCCUCCUGGGUUCAAGUGAUUCUUGUGCCUCAGCCUCCCGCGUAGCUGGACUACAUGUGCUCACCAUCAUGCCAGGCUAAUUUUUUGUAUUUUUAGUAGAGACGAGGUUUCACCAUGCUGGCCUGCCUGGUCUCUAAAUCCUGGCCUCAAGUGAUCCACCCGCCUUUGCCUCCCAAAGUGCUGGGAUUACAGGCCUGAGCCACCGCACCCAGCCCUAAAACAGCCUUUGAUGAAGCCACUGCAGAACCUGAUACACUGAAGACUCAGACAGCCCCCUCAUCAUGCAGUUGCUGAGAGACAACCUAAUAACACUGUGGACAUCACACAGUGCAGGAAAAGAACGCAAUGCAGCAGAAGGGGCUGAACAC
rnacentral:lncRNA from 1 species